AUUGAACGCUGGCGGCAGGCCUAACACAUGCAAGUCGAACGAGUGGCGGACGGGUGAGUAAUGUCUGGGAAACUGCCUGAUGGAGGGGGAUAACUACUGGAAACGGUAGCUAAUACCGCAUACCAUCGGAUGUGCCCAGAUGGGAUUAGCUAGUAGGGGGGGUAAAGGCUCACCUAGGCGACGAUCCCUAGCUGGUCUGAGAGGAUGACCGCCAAAAUGGGAACUGAGACACGUUCCAGACUCCUACGGGAGGCAGCAGGGGGGAUUAUUGCAAAAUGGGCGCAAGCCUGAUGCAGCCAUGCCGCGGGUAUGAAGAAGGCUUUCGGGUGGUAAGUACUUUCAGCGGGGAGGCGUUACCCGCAGAAGAAGCACCGGCUAACUCCGUGCCAGCCGCCGCGGUAAUUC
rnacentral:rRNA from 1 species